GCUUACGGCCACACCGCCUGGUUCACGCCCUGAUCUCGGAAGCUAAGAUAGGUUGGGCCUGGUUAGUACUUGGAUGGGAGACCGCCUGGGAAUACCAGGUGCUGCAAGCU
rnacentral:rRNA from 1 species